ACCCGCUGAACUUAAGCAUAUCAAUAAGCGGAGGAAAAGAAACCAACAGGGAUUGCCCUAGUAACGGCGAGUGAAGCGGCAACAGCUCAAAUUUGAAAUCUGGCGUCUUUGGCGUCCGAGUUGUAAUUUGCAGAGGGCGCUUUGGCAUUGGCAGCGGUCCAAGUUCCUUGGAACAGGACGUCACAGAGGGUGAGAAUCCCGUACGUGGUCGCUAGCCUUUACCGUGUAAAGCCCCUUCGACGAGUCGAGUUGUUUGGGAAUGCAGCUCUAAAUGGGAGGUAAAUUUCUUCUAAAGCUAAAUACUGGCCAGAGACCGAUAGCGCACAAGUAGAGUGAUCGAAAGAUGAAAAGCACUUUGGAAAGAGAGUUAAAAAGCACGUGAAAUUGUUGAAAGGGAAGCGCUUGCAGCCAGACUUGCCUGUAGUUGCUCAUCCGGGUUUUUACCCGGUGCACUCUUCUAUAGGCAGGCCAGCAUCAGUUUGGGCGGUUGGAUAAAGGUCUCUGUCAUGUACCUCUCUUCGGGGAGAACUUACAGGGGAGACGACAUGCAACCAGCCCGGACUGAGGUCCGCGCAUCUGCUAGGAUGCUGGCGUAAUGGCUGU
rnacentral:rRNA from 1 species